rnacentral:rRNA from 1 species
AGAGUUUGAUCCUGGCUCAGGAUGAACGCUGGCGGCGUGCCUAAUACAUGCAAGUCGAACGAGAGUAGCAAUACUCGAGUGGCGAACGGGUGAGUAACACGUAGGUAACCUGCCUUACAGUUUUGGGAUACCCGAGGGAAACCUUGGCUAAUACCGAAUAAUUCUUCUGGAGGCAUCUCCGGAAGCUAAAAGGGGCCCUUAAAGCCUCGCUGAAAGAUGGACCUGCGGCGCAUUAGCUAGUUGGUGAGAUAAUAGCCCACCAAGGCGAGGAUGCGUAGCCGACCUAAGAGGGUGAACGGCCACACUGGAACUGAGACACGGUCCAGACUCCUACGGGAGGCAGCAGUAGGGAGUUUUCGGCAAUGGGGGAAACCCUGACCGAGCAACGCCGCGUGAACGAUGAAGGUCUUCGGAUUGUAAAGUUCUGUUAUAAGGGAAGAAUGAUAGCCUGAGGAAAUGCUGGCUAUUUGACGGUACCUUAUUAGAAAGCCACGGCUAACUACGUGCCAGCCGCCGC